UCUUAUCUACAUGCCUACAUUGUUAAUGCAACGGGUCCCAUUAGAACUCCAUAAUUAAGUGUGUUAGGGCUAGAGUAGUACUAGGAUGGGUGACCUCCCAGGAAGUCUUAGUGUUUUACAUGCC
rfam:Picea glauca, whole genome shotgun sequence.